GUGCUCGCUUCGGCAGCACAUAGACUAAAACUGGAAAGAUUCAGAGAUGAGCAUGGCCCCUGCGCAGAGAUGGCACAAACUCGAGAACUGUUCCAUAUGACA